GUCCCCAUCGUCUAGAGGCCAAGGACACCGCCCUUUCACGGCGGUAACCCGGGUUCGAAUCCCGGUGGGGACGCCA
rnacentral:tRNA from 3 species